rnacentral:piRNA from 1 species
CAUACAUGGCUCUCUAAAACCCUACAGU